rnacentral:rRNA from 1 species
AACGAACGCUGGCGGCAUGCCUAACACAUGCAAGUCGAACGAGACCUUCGGGUCUAGUGGCGCACGGGUGCGUAACGCGUGGGAACCUGCCCUUAGGUUCGGAAUAACUCCCCGAAAGGGGUGCUAAUACCGGAUAAUGUCUUCGGACCAAAGAUUUAUCGCCUUUGGAUGGGCCCGCGUUGGAUUAGCUAGUUGGUAGGGUAAAAGCCUACCAAGGCGACGAUCCAUAGCUGGUCUGAGAGGAUGAUCAGCCACACUGGGACUGAGACACGGCCCAGACUCCUACGGGAGGGAGCAGUGGGGAAUAUUGGACAAUGGGCGAAAGCCUGAUCCAGCAAUGCCGCGUGAGUGAUGAAGGCCUUAGGGUUGUAAAGCUCUUUUACCCGGGAUGAUAAUGACAGUACCGGGAGAAUAAGCGCCGGCUAACUCCGUG